rnacentral:rRNA from 1 species
CAGCAGCCACGGUAAUACGAAGGGGGCUAGCGUUGUUCGGAUUUACUGGGCGUAAAGCGCACGUAGGCGGACACUUAAGUCAGGGGUGAAAUCCCAGAGCUCAACUCUGGAACUGCCUUUGAUACUGGGUGUCUGGAGUAUGGAAGAGGUAAGUGGAAUUCCGAGUGUAGAGGUGAAAUUCGUAGAUAUUCGGAGGAACAUCAGUGGCGAAGGCGGCCAUCUGGGACAACACUGACGCUGAGGCACGUAAGCGUGGGGAGCAAACAGGAUUAGAUACCCGCGUAGUCCCUGUCUCUUAUAC